UGUGAAAACGUACUGUUUGUGUUGUCUUUUUCUAUCCACUUGGAAACAUUCACAGAUACGUUAAGUGAUCCAAGAGUACUUGAAAACUACUAAUCGCAUGCCCAUGAUAGUUUUGGUCAAUUUCAUUGUUCUCAUGGAAAAAUAAAUUCUUUGAAAUCUCUCAAAAUCCCUUGAACAGCAUUUUUUCAAAAUGGAUAAUGUCUUAUUAAAGCUAUGGUAUAUGUAUUAUGAAGGCUUUCAUGGAAUUGUGAUAAAGUUUGAGGUAGUGAUAGAAGAUAUGCCUCGGGCUGCAAAGUGUUUGGAGAUUUUUCUUUGAGGACGUUGAUGAUGGUAGAUGUAUUUAGUAUUGAGUGAUGUGGUACAGCUUUUGAUAGAUCGUGAUUUACCUUAGUUGUGGCCUUAGAAUCCAGUGAUUUUGUGUAGUGCAUUUGAGUUGUUUGAGAAAAUGUCUAAGUGAAAAUUUCAUCCAAUUUAUGGUGAUCUUAUAAUAGAACUUAAGGCUAUCUAUAACUGAGUGUUACCAUGCAAAAUAUAGUGAUGUUGCCCUAUAAUUGGGACUGAUAUUUGAAGAAUUGCAGAUAAAUUGUAUUCUCUAUGACUCUCUGAUUGACAGUACAAAGAAAUUUUUAUUAUGACUUUUUGAAUAUCUGCAUUAGCUGCAUCAACAGUAUCCAUGUGGACCAUUGCUUAAAAUGAGGAGAAUUUUGAGUUUUUCAGCGGCUGCUGGAGUAAAACAUUUGAUACAUGACAUUGAAAGUAGACUGGUAUGAUUGCAAGGCUGGUUGAUUGCUGUUAUUGGAAUGGUAUUAAAAUGUAAAUAGCUGUGAUCUUUCAUUUAGCUUUCAAAAAGGGUUGGCUAAAAAGUCUCACUUUAAAUUCAUGUCACUAUUGUGCACUUUGGUUCCUUUUUCAUAACGUAAUGCUUCAUUUGUUUCUGGCGAUUUUUCCUGCCUUCUUUGCAGACAUCUUCUUUUUAUCUUCAUAUUUAUAAGAUCCGUUUCACAGAAAAGAAAAUACAAAUCUUAGGAAAGCAGCCAUCCGGUUUAUUUCUUGCUACCAUUUCUUUAGUUCUAAGUGAGCAUAUCCGUUUUGCAGGCAAGAGUAUGACAUUGUAAGUGUGCGUACACAGUUCCCUUGGAAAUUGUAAUUGAAUUUCAAGCUCACAGUUUUCAUUUCCCUCUUUGAUGGCAGAAUAUUGUUUUGAAUAUGCAUUAAAUUUGAAAUGCUUAGCUGUAUAAGCUUCUAACAACCCAAGCAGUAAAAUAAUAUGGUCUAGCAAUUUGUUUGGAUCAUAACAUUUAAGGGCUUUGAUAUGCUAAUGGCUUAUUUUCUAAGAUCAAAGCUCUUUGGGAAGCUGCAGUAAGGAUUGCAGGCUAUAUAAAAUGUUAUUUGGAAGGUCUAAUGCAUGCAUUCUGCUUUCUGGUACAAUUUGAUGGAAAGAUGUUGCAUAUGCAAGGUGAAUGCUGCUCUAAGUGUUUGCAUAACCAAUUGGACACCUUGCAUCCCUCUGCUCUUCUUGAAUGUUUAGCUGUGAUCAUACUGCUUCUCAAAAGCAGUCAGACAGUUGGAUGUGGUGUGUUACCAGGGAUUCUUAAAUCAUUUUCCAGGUGUUUGAAACUCAACCUUUUAGGCUCUAAGGGUACAUAUCCUAGCUCUUAAAAUUUCUUGUGUCUAUUCUAGAUACUAAACCUUUUCGCCAGGUAAAACUCAUAAUUUAAAGUUACGCUUGUUGAAAGUUGUAUGAGCCUCCAAAAUUUGUACAUAUCUGAAUAUGCUAAAGUGUCCAGUGCUAUUUUGUUUCAGCAACACUCUAAUCCAAAAAUGAUUUUAUUUAGUAUAAGAAGUUUGAAUGCAGAAUGAUGAAUGAUUAGACAUUGUUUGAAACUUUUGAGUUUUCUUAAAAAUUAGUGUGUCUGCUUUAAUGUUCUAAUCCAAAAAUGAUUUUAUUUAGUAUAAGAAGUGUGGAUACAGAGUGAUGAAUGAUUAGACAUUGUUUGAAACUUUUGAGUUUUCUUAAAAAUUAGUGUGUCUGCUUUAAUGUCAUCGUUAAAGUUAUUUGUAAUAAAGAUACUGCACUUUCUGCUGUGAUUUGUUUUUGUUGUUCUUUUUAAUAGCUUGAUGUUUUCUUGGGGUUUGGGUCACUGCUGGUUUUGAGGGCUGAUAUACAGAUACAAAAUGUGCGUAUUUGAGACUUCAGGGCUGAAAUUCAUUUUCUGUAUUUUAUUGGCCCAGAAAUUUGGACCUUGGAGAAGAAGGAUUUCAUUUGUAUAUUUGUCAACAUGCUAUAGUUUUUAAUGCCAAUAUGUCAAAGAGUUACUUUAGAUAGGGAACAAGAUCUCAUAAGAUCUUGCAUGUUAAUGAAUGUCUAGGCUUGCGGAAUUGUUUACACAAGCCACUAAUGUUUUUACAGUAUACCUUUAGAAGAAAGAUCUGCUAAGUUGCCAGUUAUAGUAUAAGAUCUUG
rnacentral:lncRNA from 1 species